UUUACUUCGACGAUAAAGCUUAUCGUGACCUCAGAACCACUUAGUUAAAAUUAACUCCCCAAACUGUCAAAAUGGGACGAUCUGUCAAAUGUAUCCAACGAGCAUGUUAUGCGAAUUGACGUUUAUCAGCUCGGUCACUUACUGCUAUAAAUGUAUAACUAACUUCAUACUCUAACGAGCCAGCAUGUUAAGAGCGAUAUAUAUCGAAAAUUACUGUCAUUUUAUUGAACCCUAACUGUCAAAUUAUCUCUAUCACAUUUCCAUGCUUCGCCCGCAGCAGGGCAAUUAUGGUCUGUCAUUAAAUAUAUCUCUAUCGUCUACCGAAAGUGGAAUUAUAUUGUAGCUCAAAGCAUACUAAAGUUAUAAAUCGGGGUUUAAUAAAAUGAACGCGUCGAUAGAUAAAUGAUAAGUGUGUGAGUGACCACUGUUGUCUUUUAUAAAAAUCCGUUCAAUAGCUGCCUUUAUUUCAUUGCGGGAUGUGUUUUGGAACAAUAAAAUGCACGGAUUUUUCAAAUUGACAGCUGUGACACCUGUCAAAGUUUGAUUUGACAUAUUGACAAAUGUCACAUACACCCGAAAAACAUAGAAGUCAAAGAUGAAAGUAAGUUGUGUGUUGUAAAAACUAAAGGAAUUCCACCAAAAAUGUUGAUGCAAGACGGACAAGCGGGCAGGAGAAUGAUAGUGAAAUAUUUAAGAGGAUACGUACCCGGGAGCACAAACGUUUACGAUAAUAUCGUUAUCUCUAUCGCUCUUCAAUAUUGGCGCGACAGAGCCAGACUGUGUUUCAAUCGGCGUCUAGCGACGGCGAAUUUCCUGUGAGCAAUUCAGUCAGGAUAUGCUGCAAACAUACCAAGGAGCCAACAAGGAAUGUUGCUAGGCUUGCCGCGAGAGAUGUGAAAUGCCAUGACACAAACCAAUUUUAAGUGGGCAUGAUAUAUACUCAACAACAGCGGGCACUACAAGGCUCUGGCAUAGAGUACCUAGAGCAUGGAAUGAGGCUACCAUUGCAUAGUUAAAUAUGAUGUGGCUCCUUCUUGUCAUACUUUCUACAGCUGCAGAAAAAGAAAAACAAUGUAACACUGAACCAGUGAGGUGUAAUUGAACUAAAUGCCAUAAAACCAACUUGUUUGAAAUAGGUCCAGAAAAGUU